rnacentral:rRNA from 1 species
GUACACUCCUACGGGAGGCAGCAGUGGGGAAUUUUGGACAAUGGGCGAAAGCCUGAUCCAGCAAUGCCGCGUGAGUGAAGAAGGCCUUCGGGUUGUAAAGCUCUUUUGUCAGGGAAGAAACGGUGAAAGCUAAUAUCUUUUGCUAAUGACGGUACCUGAAGAAUAAGCACCGGCUAACUACGUGCCAGCAGCCGCGGUAAUACGUAGGGUGCAAGCGUUAAUCGGAAUUACUGGGCGUAAAGCGUGCGCAGGCGGUUUUGUAAGUCUGAUGUGAAAUCCCCGGGCUCAACAUGGGAAUUGCAUUGGAGACUGCAAGGCUAGAAUCUGGCAGAGGGGGGUAGAAUUCCACGUGUAGCAGUGAAAUGCGUAGAUAUGUGGAGGAACACCGAUGGCGAAGGCAGCCCCCUGGGUCAAGAUUGACGCUCAUGCACGAAAGCGUGGGGAGCAAACAGGAUUAGAAACCCCGGUAGUCCCAUGAU